CCUGCGUUAUAUUUGGUAAUCCAAAUAAAAACGAUAUCACGCAUAUCAAGAGAACCAACAUUUCGUGGCAUAACAGAAUACGCUUCAUCCGAUUAGGGAACCCAUCCUGUAUCGAUGAUACUACGACCUCCACAACUGCAAACUAUAAUUAUGGGCUGACUAUUGAGCGAGAGGCACACAAGCAUGAAAAAGAAUAGUACAGCCCAUAGUUGAGAUGCUGGCAUUUUUGCCAAAGCUUGAGGAUACACUACGAA
rnacentral:misc_RNA from 1 species